rnacentral:rRNA from 1 species
AGAGUUUGAUCCUGGCUCAGGAUGAACGCUGGCGGCGUGCCUAAUACAUGCAAGUCGUGCGGAAAGGCCACUUCGGUGGUACUCGAGCGGCGGACGGCAGAGUAACGCGUAGGAACAUACCCCAAACUGAGGGAUAACUGCUCGAAAGAGUAGCUAAUACCGCAUGUGAUCUUCGGAUUAAAGCUUCGGCGGUUUGGGAAUGGCCUGCGUCCGAUUAGCUUGUUGGUGAGGUAAUAGCUCACCAAGGCGACGAUCGGUAGCUGGUCUGAGAGGAUGAUCAGCCUGACUGGAACUGAGAACGGUCCAGACUCCUACGGGAGGCAGCAGUAGGGAAUUUUCCACAAUGGGCGAAAGCCUGAUGGAGCAACGCCGCGUGCAGGAUGAAUGCCUUCGGGUUGUAAACUGCUUUUAUUAGUGAAGAAUAUGACGGUAACUAAUGAAUAAGGGUCGGCUAACUACGUG